rnacentral:rRNA from 1 species
UACGGGAGUGGCAAGCGUUAUCCGGAAUUAUUGGGCGUAAAGCGUCCGCAGGCGGCCUUACAAGUCUGUCGUUAAAGCGUGGAGCUUAACUCCAUUUCAGCGAUGGAAACUGUAAGGCUAGAGUGUGGUAGGGGCAGAGGGAAUUCCCGGUGUAGCGGUGAAAUGCGUAGAUAUCGGGAAGAACACCAGUGGCGAAGGCGCUCUGCUGGGCCAUAACUGACGCUCAUGGACGAAAGCCAGGGGAGCGAAAGGGAUUAGAUACCCCUGUAGUCCUGGCCGUAAACGAUGAACACUAGGUGUCGGGGGAAUCGACCCCCUCGGUGUCGUAGCCAACGCGUUAAGUGUUCCGCCUGGGGAGUACGCACGSWWGUGUGAMACUCAA